ACUCUGUCAUACUAUUUUUUGUAGGUAUUUCAUGUAUUGAGGCUGGGAGAAGGACAGGAUAUCACUGCUCUGGCUCUAAACAAGGAUAACACAAAUCUUUUGGUUUCUACUUCGGAUAAACAAUUGAUAAUAUUCACUGAUCCAGCUUUAAGCUUGAAAGUGGUGGAUCAAAUGCUCAAGCUUGGCUGGGAAGGUGAUGGGCUUCAGCCUCUAAUAAAAUCAUAGCUUUUAGGGUAUACAUUAAUGGGUUACAGAUCUUCUACACAUAUCAGUUAGGAAAAUUAGGUUGAGGUUAUGAUACAUUUGUAAGCAUUUUGAUUGAGAGAUGUCUUGUGGCAUAUGUAACAUCCUAUCAUUACCACUAGUGUUAGAUUCCUUAGAUUUAGCAGAGGGUUCUUCGCUACUCCAGUUGUGCUAUAGUGUUGAUAUUGGACAAGUUUUUGAGGUUUGAGCCUUUUUUGUCCCACAAUUUUUUUAUUAUAGAGAAUGGAAAUAUAAUAGGUAUUCUUUAUUGUAAUACUGCUGCUUUUCAGAUGUUGCGAUUGAUUGAGAUUUUGAGGUUUGAGUCGUCCAUGUUUGUUAAUAUAACCAAAUUUCAAUUGUUGUUUUUUUUAA